rnacentral:piRNA from 1 species
CAGACAGUACCUGUCGAAUAAAAUGCCGAA